rnacentral:rRNA from 1 species
UACGUAGGGGGCUAGCGUUGUCCGGAAUCAUUGGGCGUAAAGCGCGCGUAGGCGGCCAGAUAAGUCCGGUGUGAAAGUCACAGGCUCAACCUGUGAAUGCCGCUGGAAACUGUCUGGCUAGAGUCCGGAAGGGGCGAGUGGAAUUCCUGGUGUAGCGGUGGAAUGCGUAGAUAUCAGGAGGAACACCUGUGGUGUAGACGGCUCUCUGGACCGCAACUGACGCUGAGACACGAAAGCGUGGGUAGCAAACAGG